CGUAGGGGCAAGCGUUGUCCGGAUUUAUUGGGCGUAAAGCGCUCGCAGGUGGUCCGAUGCGUCGUGCGUGAAAGACCCUGGCUCAACUGGGGGGUGUCGUGCGAUACGGUCGGACUGGAGGCCAGUAGGGGGAUGCGGAAUUCCGGGUGUAGUGGUGGAAUGCGUAGAGAUCCGGAGGAACACCAGCGGCGAAGGCGGCAUCCUGGACUGGUCCUGACACUCAUGAGCGAAAGCGUGGGGAGCGAUCCGGAUUAGAUACCCGGGUAGUCCACGCUGUAAACGAUGCGUACUAGGUGUCGGGGGUAUCGACCCCCUCGGUGCCGCAGCUAACGCGAUAAGUACGCCGCCUGGGGACUACGGCCGCAAGGCUA
rnacentral:rRNA from 1 species